UGCUCAACUCGGCAUGAAUGAUGUGACUUACGCUGAGGUUCAACUAAAGCCUAUGAAAAAAGUGAAGAGAGCACAAGGUAGAGAAAAGACCAGAGUGGGUGAUGAUACUGUUUACUCAGAGCUGCAUCAUAACAUGAAGUGAGCCGUGUGUCUGUCUACACUGAUGAAGCUACAGAAACUGAGUUGUGUUUGUCUUCUUUUUUUCCUAAACUUUUUAGUUGUUAAAUGUUUCAAAUUCUUUGAUCUGUGAACUUGCUCACAUCAACCAU